ACGUACACUCCUACGGGAGGCAGCAGUGGGGAAUAUUGGACAAUGGGCGCAAGCCUGAUCCAGCCAUGCCGCGUGAGUGAUGAAGGCCCUAGGGUUGUAAAGCUCUUUCACCGGUGAAGAUAAUGACGGUAACCGGAGAAGAAGCCCCGACUAACUUCGUGCCAGCAGCCGCGGUAAUACGAAGGGGGCUAGCGUUGUUCGGAUUUACUGGGCGUAAAGCGCACGUAGGCGGACUAUUAAGUCAGGGGUGAAAUCCCGGGGCUCAACCCCGGAACUGCCUUUGAUACUGGUAGUCUUGAGUUCGAGAGAGGUGAGUGGAAUUCCGAGUGUAGAGGUGAAAUUCGUAGAUAUUCGGAGGAACACCAGUGGCGAAGGCGGCUCACUGGCUCGAUACUGACGCUGAGGUGCGAAAGCGUGGGGAGCAAACAGGAUUAGAAACCCGUGUAGUCCC
rnacentral:rRNA from 1 species